AAUAAGCCACCGAAAGGUGGUCUAAUACUUCAUAAUAUCCAUCUCGUAUGGAUUAAAGCUUUAUGCGCUUUGGGAGGGGCCUGCGUAACAUUAGCUUGUUGGUGAGGUAAAAGCUCACCAAGGCUUCGAUGUUUAACUGGUUUGAGAGGAUGACCAGUCACACUGGGACUGAGAUACGGCCCAGACUCCUACGGGAGGCAGCAGUAAGGAAUCUUCCACAAUGGGGCAACCCUGAUGGAGCAAUACCGCGUGCAGGAUGAAGCGUUUCGGCGUGUAAACUGCUUUAUCACCGAAGAUUAUGACUGUAGGUGAAGAAUAAGGACCGGCUAACUACGUG
rnacentral:rRNA from 1 species